rnacentral:misc_RNA from 1 species
GCAACGAGUUUCCAUGGCUAGGGCUGUUUAUUCUGAUUCUGAUGUUUGCAUAUUUGAUGACCCUUUAAGUGCUUUGGAUGCUGAUGUGGGCCGUCAGGUUUUUGAAAGGUGCAUCAAGGGAGAACUGAAAGGAAAAACCAGAGUUUUAGUCACAAACCAGCUACACUUUCUUUCACAAGUGGACAAAAUCAUACUGGUGCAUGAUGGUAUGGUGAAAGAGGAAGGAACCUUUGAAUAUCUCUCAAAUAACGGGAUACUAUUUCAGAAACUGAUGGAAAAUGCGGGGAAAAUGGAAGAGUAUACAGAAGAGAAGGAAAAU